rnacentral:rRNA from 1 species
CCUACGGGAGGCAGCAGUGAGGAAUAUUGGUCAAUGGGCGGAAGCCUGAACCAGCCAAGCCGCGUGCGGGAUGAAGGCCCUACGGGUCGUAAACCGCUUUUGCACGGGGAUAAAACCCUGCACUUGUGGACGUCUGCAGGUACCGUGCGAAUAAGGGCCGGCUAAGUCCGUGCCAGCAGCCGCGGUAAUACGGAGGGGCCGCGCGUUAUCCGGAUUUAUUGGGUUUAAGGGGAGCGAAGGGGGGCGGUAACGUCAGCGGUAAAAUCCCGGGGCGCAACCGCGCCCCGCAGUUGAAACUGGGCGCCUUGAGUUCACAACAGGCAGGCGGAAUGCGUGGUGUAGCGGUGAAAUGCAUAGAUAUCACGAGGAACCCCGAUUGCGAAGGCAGCCUGCCGGGGUGCGACUGACGCUGAGGCACGAAAGCGCGGGUAUCAAACAGGAUUAGAUACCCCUGUAGUC